GAAUUGAUUAGUCCAUACCGGUCUGAUUAAGGUAUACGAGAAGGAAGGUAUACAUAAAGGUUAAACAAAAAAAGAGGUGAAGAAGAGAAACAUGGCUAGUGAAACUCUAAACGGUUGGAAAUGAUGAUGAAGCAAUGAGUAAGAGAAUGACUCUCCGCAAUCAAGCAGCGUAGGAACUAGGAACAGCUUUGGUUCUCAUGGCCAUGCUC